rnacentral:rRNA from 1 species
GACAGAGGUGCCAAGCGUUAGGCGGAAUCACUGGGCUUAAAGCGUGUGUAGGCGGAUCGUUAAGUACCUUGUGAAAUCCCACGGCUCAACCGUGGAACUGCUGGGUAUACUGGCGGUCUUGAGCCACCUAGGGGCGAGCGGAACAAGCGGUGGAGCGGUGAAAUGCGUAGAUAUCGCUUGGAACGCCAACGGUGAAAACAGCUCGCUGGGGGUGUGCUUACGCUGAGACACGAAAGCCAGGGGAGCGAACGGG